GACGAACGCUGGCGGCGUGCUUAACACAUGCAGGUCGAACGGAAAGGCCCUGCUUUUGUGGGGUGCUCGAGUGGCGAACGGGUGAGUAACACGUGAGUAACCUGCCCUUGACUUUGGGAUAACUUCAGGAAACUGGGGCUAAUACCGGAUAGGAGCUCCUGCUGCAUGGGGGGGGUUGGAAAGUUUCGGCGGUUGGGGAUGGACUCGCGGCUUAUCAGCUUGUUGGUGGGGUUGUGGCUUACCAAGGCUUUGACGGGUAGCCGGCCUGAGAGGGUGACCGGCCACAUUGGGACUGAGAUACGGCCCAGACUCCUACGGGAGGCAGCAGUGGGGAAUAUUGCACAGUGGGCGGAAGCCUGAUGCAGCAACGCCGCGUGCGGGAUGACGGCCUUCGGGUUGUAAACCGCUUUCGCCUGUGACGAAGCGUGAGUGACGGUAAUGGGUAAAGAAGCACCGGCUAACUACGUG
rnacentral:rRNA from 1 species